GAGUUUGAUCCUGGCUCAGAUUGAACGCUGGCGGCAUGCCUUACACAUGCAAGUCGAACGGCAGCACGGGAGCUUGCUCCUGGUGGCGAGUGGCGAACGGGUGAGUAAUGCAUCGGAACGUAUCCUGGAGUGGGGGGAUAACGUAGCGAAAGUUACGCUAAUACCGCAUAUUCUGUGAGCAGGAAAGCGGGGGACCUUCGGGCCUCGCGCUCUUGGAGCGGCCGAUGUCGGAUUAGCUAGUUGGUGAGGUAAAGGCUCACCAAGGCGACGAUCCGUAGCAGGUCUGAGAAGAUGAUCUGCCACACUGGAACUGAGACACGGUCCAGACUCCUACGGGAGGCAGCAGUGGGGAAUUUUGGACAAUGGGGGCAACCCCGAUCCAGCCAUGCCGCGUGAGUGAAGAAGGCCUUCGGUCGU
rnacentral:rRNA from 1 species